rnacentral:rRNA from 1 species
UACGUAGGGUGCAAGCGUUGUCCGGAAUUAUUGGGCGUAAAGAGCUCGUAGGCGGUCUGUCGCGUCGGAUGUGAAAACCCAGGGCUCAACCCUGGGCCUGCAUUCGAUACGGGCAGACUAGAGUUCGGUAGGGGAGACUGGAAUUCCUGGUGUAGCGGUGAAAUGCGCAGAUAUCAGGAGGAACACCGAUGGCGAAGGCAGGUCGCUGGGCAUUAACUGACGCUGAGGAGCGAAAGCAUGGGGAGCGAACAGG